CGAGAGGCCCAAACGUUAUUCGGAAUUACUGGGCUUAAAGAGUUCGUAGGCGGCAUGAAAAGUAGGGUGUGAAAGCCCUCGGCUCAACCGAGGAAUUGCGCUCUAAACUGUCGUGCUCGAGGAACCUAGAGGUGAGCAGAACAGAUGGUGGAGCGGUGAAAUGCGUUGAUAUCAUCUGGAAUACCGGAGGCGAAGGCGGUUCACUGGGGGUUUUCUGACGCUGAGGAGCGAAAGCCAGGGUAGCGAACGGGAUUAGAUACCCCGGUAGUCCUGGCCGUAAACGAUGAGCACUAGGCCGGAGCCCUGCACAGGGUUUCGGCCGUAGCUAAAGUGUUAAGUGCUCCGCCUGGGGAGUAUGGUCGCAAGGCUG
rnacentral:rRNA from 1 species